UCAUUUAGAUUCGUUUAUUUAUUUUUUUAAUCAGCAAAAAUAAAUGCAGAAGUGGAAGAAAAUACAGCUUUGGAGACCGGGAGUGGGGGAGGCUUUCGAUAUUUGAUAUGCGUCGAGUGUGCCCCCAGAUAAUGAAUCUCGUUUGAAAAUCGCACACCCAAAAAAUAAAAAUGUUUUCGGGUCUUUGGGAGGGCCGUAACAUGGAAAAGCCCCGCUCCGCAGUUCCCAAGGGUCUCUAUCGUGAGCUUUCACCCCCUGUAUAUACAGCGACAGGGAUCCGGAGAGGAGCGAAGCAGAGAAAAGUCAAUUUGUCAAAAGAUCAACCGACGCUCUCCGAUCUGAAGCUUUCGUUUUUGCGCUUUUAAAAAGCCGAAACCGGCGGCUCUCGGACUUUCGCGGGACUUCGCUCUUCCUUAUCCAGUGCUGGGUGAACGAAUCUUUAUCCUUGCAAUCGUUUCAGUUCGAGUGGCCCACGAUGGUUGUUUUCGACGGGAAGAUUUUUUUUUUCUUAAAGAGGCCCCUUAAAGCAGCCAGUUUCGAUCUCUCUCUGGACAAACACACACAAGAGGGAUGGGAAAGAAGAGGCUCCUUUCUCUCUCCGGGCUGCCAGAAAUAGACACCGCCGCCCGCUUCCCUCCCCUUUGCUGGAAUCUCUCUUGGGAAGUUGAAGCAGCUCUUUGUCAAACUCCAAAUCUGAUGCAGAAGGACCUGGAACGUCGUGAGCAGAAGAGCAACUAUUGACAAAAAAAGAGAAGAAGAAGAAGAGUCAGAAAAACUACACAACACUCAUGCAGCCUCUCUGUUAUGAUGCUAGGAUAAAAAAAGGAACUGAGAGCUAUCUUUUCCCUGACAGAAGACGAACUUGCUGUAUUUCCUGACCGAUAGCUUUGCUCUAUUCCAUUCCAAAUAUGAAAAGACCCGUCUUUUCUUUCCUGAGUGUUGGGCUAAGCUGGGAGCGAGCCCAGCAAAUGUCGAGUUGAUCUGGUGAUGACAUGGUGGGAAGUACAUUUUCUUCUGUACGGAUAGUCCUCAGUUAACAAUGAUUAUUGAGAAUGGAAUUUCCGUCCCUAAGCAAAUGUGGUUAUAAAGCAUGGUGUUAUGUGAGUGCAUCGCUUAGCAACAGCAAUCCCAGAAGUCCCUAUUGCUGGAGUUAAUUGAAUCCCACAGAUUAUUAGGCGAGGACCCAUCUCAAUCUAGGCCAUUCCUGGCUUGGUCUCCCCCAGUCCCAAGUUCCAGUAAGGUAAGGGACUGCCUCUUUUGCUCACUGUUGAACUCCACCCCCUCCCCACCUGUCCCCCACCAUCUCUGCCCUUUAGGCCACGCCCCUAACUGCUACUGCCAGCUGCCUCACUGCCCAACUCUGUCACUCCACCUACUGUACUGCCCGCUACUACCGUACUUGCUGGAACCUUCUUUCACGCCAUUGCCUUUUGCACCAGGGCAGUUGGGGUUAUCUUGCACCCUGUUCAGAUCCUCCAUUUACACCCUAGCUGGGGCUUCCAUUUGUGCCUCACCCAGGACUAGAAAGGGUCUUCUUCAAUGCUAGCAGAGCCAAGUCUUUUCCCACAGAGGGCUUAUUUUGUGAAAGCCCGGGUGGGGCUUGAAUGGGGGCCUUGGCUGGCUGAUGUGCAAAUGCUGUGGUGGGUAGGGCCAGGCAGUAGGGGAAGUUGGCAGCAGUAGGUAGGUGAGUAGCCAAAAAGGAGGUCAUAAGUGCAGGUGGGCACAAGUGGGCCUGCAUUUUGUUCAUAUGACAGUAAAGCAGGGUGGGCUUCAAAAAUUUUAGCAAGGGGUUCUCUGCCCGGUUGCUGGGUGGGCAUGGCCAUGGUGGGCAUGACCUAGUCGGCCUCCUGCACCACGGUGGGGAGGGGGGUGUUUUUGCCCUCCCCGGGCUCCAGAGUCUUUCCUCGAGCCUCCGGGAGAGCGAAAACGGUCUCCCCAGGCUCCGGAGGCUGUCUGGAGGCAGGAAACAGGCCCAUUUCCAGCCUUCCUGAACUUCCGGUAGGCCCGUUUUUCACCCUCCCUGAGUCUCCCCGCGCGCGCCCUGCACUUACCUGCAUCCAAAACAGGCCGGUGAGGGGACUCCUGGGAGGGGUGGGCGGGGAGGGGUGGGGCCAGCCAGGAGUGGAUUUGGGGGUUCUCCGAACUGCACAGAAUCUUAGCUAGAGGUUCUCCUGAACCCCUUCAAAUCCCAAGCAGCCCACCCCUGCAAUAGAGGUGUUGCUGGAACUUCAGGGAUCAGUCAUAAGUCCCUUCAUUCACUGCCUUUGUAACUCCAAAUGGCUGCUGAAUGAGUGAGUGUUAAGUGAGGACCAUCUGUAUAGUAUGGGACUGUCAUUGCAUGUUUUUUUUUUUAAUUGGUUGUAUUGCCAUCUUUUUUUUAACCGGAUGGGUGGCCCCUAUAAAUCUUUGACAUGAAUGAAUAAGUGAAUGGUGCGUACAAGGGCUACUGAGUACCUGUGUUUUAACAUCCUAUUCUAAAAACACAGGAUGUGAAUGUGUCCAUAUACAUUUAGCCUGAAUUGUUAUGUUCAGUGAGUGGGCUUACAUGUACCUGUUGAUAAAAUUACAACUGAAAUAAACAUGAUUUCAUGACAAA